rfam:Oryza rufipogon genomic scaffold, chr08
UUUAAGUGCAACCAUGAAUUUUCGCGCCCAACUUUGAUCGUCGGUUUUAUUUAAAAACUUUUUAUAAUUAAUAUUUUUGUUGUUAUGAGAUCAUAAAACAUGAAUAGUACUUUACUCAUGACUUAUGUUUUUAAUUUUUUUUUUAAAAAUAAAUAAGACAGACGAUCAAAGUUGGAUGUGGAAAACCAUACUGUAUUUAAA